GACGAACGCUGGCGGCGUGCUUAACACAUGCAAGUCGAACGGAAAGGCGCUGCUUUUGUGGGGUGCUCGAGUGGCGAACGGGUGAGUAACACGUGAGUAACCUGCCCUUGACUAUGGGAUAACUUCAGGAAACUGGGGAUAAUACCGGAUAGGAGCUCAUGCUGCAUGGUGGGGGUUGGAAAGUUUCGGCGGUUGGGGAUGGACUCGCGGCUUAUCAGCUUGUUGGUGGGGUAGUGGCUUACCAAGGCUUUGACGGGUAGCCGGCCUGAGAGGGUGACCGGCCACAUUGGGACUGAGAUACGGCCCAGACUCCUACGGGAGGCAGCAGUGGGGAAUAUUGCACAAUGGACGGAAGCCUGAUGCAGCAACGCCGCGUGCGGGAUGACGGCCUUCGUGUUGUAAACCGCUUUCGCCUGUGACGAAGCGUGAGUGACGGUAAUUGGUAAAGAAGCACCGGCUAACUACGUG
rnacentral:rRNA from 1 species